GAUUUCUGGCUUGAAGCAUGUUGCCGGCCACGGUUUCGUGUGUUAGUGCUUUAUGCUCUGGCCAUCCUUCUCAUCGCUUCUGGCGCUUCUUCAUUGAGGCUGUCAGGGGUAUGGGAUCUUUUACUUUGAAAAAAUUAGAGUGUUUCAAGCAGGCUUUAUGCUAUGAAUACAUUAGCAUGGAAUAAUAAUUUAGGACUUCGGUUCUAUUUUGUUGGUUUCUAGGACUGAAGUAAUGAUUGAUAGGGAUAGUUGGGGGUGCUAGUAUUCAGCGGCCAGAGGUGAAAUUCUCGGAUUCGCUGAAGACUAACUUAUGCGAAAGCAUU
rnacentral:rRNA from 1 species